rnacentral:rRNA from 1 species
AACGAACGUUGGCGGCGUGGAUUAGGCAUGCAAGUCGCGGGAAUCCCAGCAAUGGGGGAACCGGCGUAAGGGGCAGUAAUGCGUGGGUACCUACCCCGGGGUCCGGGAUAGCCGUCCGAGAGGGCGGGUAAUACCGGAUGACCUCGGGAGAGCAAAGCUCCGGCGCCCCGGGAGGGGCCCACGUGAUAUUAGCUAGUUGGUGAGGUGCCGGCUCACCAAGGCGGAGAUGUCUAGCGGGUGUGAGAGCACGACCCGCGCCACUCGCACUGAGACACUGGCGAGACACCUACGGGUGGCUGCAGUCGAGGAUCUUCGGCAAUGCGCGCAAGCGCGACCGAGCGACACCGCGUGGGCGAUGAAGGCCUUCGGGUUGUAAAGCCCUGUCGAGGGGGAGAAAAGCGGGAAACCGUGUGAUCUAUCCCUGGAGGAAGCUCGGGCUAAGUUCGUGCCAGCAGCCGCCGCGGUAA